AAAAACUUAAAAAAACCAAGGGCAAAAAAUUUUAGAGUCCACGCACGAGACAGGAUUUACAAAAGUUCAAGGGUUCAAACGCAACGCUCAGUGAGUGCGAAUCACCCAUUGCGUUUGAUUGAGUACGCAACAAGUGGGGAUAGAGGGCGAAUCAUGUCGUGGAUACUUUCUUUGAAAAUUUUCAUCCUUCUGAUUGUUAUAGUGUCUUCGGCCAAGAACAAAAAACAAGGUCCCUGCGAAGGUGCGACGGGGGAUGCAGUCCCGGCAUGCAAUCAGCUUUGCGCUGAUAGAUACAAGUCUAUCACGUACGACAACGGAGCGGUGGUGCCUGUGUGUACGGGUAGGUGCAAGUUUAACAUGUGUCGGUGCCGCUUGAACCCGGAUCUUCGCGUCCCAAACGCUCCUUCUAACUUAGCGAGGGGUCCUUCAAUUCAAAGCUGUCUGUUAGAGGCAAGUACUAUGAGGCUCUUUGGUACCGGAUGAAUUUUGGGAGCGAGAAAUCAAAGAACGCAGCAAAGGAUGAUGAUUACCUGCAAUCGUUACGGUGCUGAUGAACUUUUUUUGUUGUUCAAAAUCCCUAUUGUGAUUGUAUGCGUUCUAAUAAAGAAGUUUAAAAA
rnacentral:lncRNA from 1 species